UACGUAGGGGGCAAGCGUUGUCCGGAUUUACUGGGCGUAAAGAGCGUGUAGGCGGCCACGCAGGUCCGUUGUGAAAACUGGAGGCUCAACCUCCAGCUGUCGACGGAAACCGUAUGGCUAGAGUCCGGAAGAGGAGAAUGGAAUUCCCGGUGUAGCGGUGAAAUGCGCAGAUAUCGGGAAGAACACCCGUGGCGAAGGCGGUUCUCUGGGACGGUACUGACGCUGAGACGCGAAAGCGUGGGGAGCGAACAGG
rnacentral:rRNA from 1 species